UCCCUGGUAGUAUAUCGGUUAGUACACGCGCCUGUCAUGUUCACAACGCGCGAGAGCGGAGUUCGAUUCUCCGCCAGGGAG